ACGGGUGAGUAAUGUCUGGGGAUCUGCCCGAUAGAGGGGGAUAACCACUGGAAACGGUGGCUAAUACCGCAUGACGUCGCAAGACCAAAGAGGGGGACCUUCGGGCCUCUCACUAUCGGAUGAACCCAGAUGGGAUUAGCUAGUAGGCGGGGUAAUGGCCCACCUAGGCGACGAUCCCUAGCUGGUCUGAGAGGAUGACCAGCCACACUGGAACUGAGACACGGUCCAGACUCCUACGGGAGGCAGCAGUGGGGAAUAUUGCACAAUGGGCGCAAGCCUGAUGCAGCCAUGCCGCGUGUAUGAAGAAGGCCUUCGGGUUGUAAAGUACUUUCAGCGGGGAGGAAGGCGACGGGGUUAAUAACCUUAUCGAUUGACGUUACCCGCAGAAGAAGCACCGGCUAACUCCGUGCCAGCAGCCGCGGUAAUACGGAGGGUGCAAGCGUUAAUCGGAAUUACUGGGCGUAAAGCGCACGCAGGCGGUCUGUUAAGUCAGAUGUGAAAUCCCCGGGCUUAACCUGGGAACUGCAUUUGAAACUGGCAGGCUUGAGUCUUGUAGAGGGGGGUAGAAUUCCAGGUGUA
rnacentral:rRNA from 1 species